GUGAAACUGCGAAUGGCUCAUUAAAUCAGUUAUCGUUUAUUUGAUAGUACCUUACUACUUGGAUAACCGUGGUAAUUCUAGAGCUAAUACAUGCUAAAAACCUCGACUUCGGAAGGGGUGUAUUUAUUAGAUAAAAAACCAAUGCCCUUCGGGGCUCCUUGGUGAUUCAUAAUAACUUAACGAAUCGCAUGGCCUUGUGCCGGCGAUGGUUCAUUCAAAUUUCUGCCCUAUCAACUUUCGAUGGUAGGAUAGUGGCCUACCAUGGUUUCAACGGGUAACGGGGAAUUAGGGUUCUAUUCCGGAGAGGGAGCCUGAGAAACGGCUGCCACAUCCAAGGAAGGCAGCAGGCGCGCAAAUUACCCAAUCCCGACACGGGGAGGUAGUGACAAUAAAUACUGAUACAGGGCUCUUUUGGGUCUUGUAAUUGGAAUGAGUACAAUUUAAAUCCCUUAACGAGGAACAAUUGGAGGGCAAGUCUGGUGCCAGCAGCCGCGGUAAUUCCAGCUCCAAUAGCGUAUAUUAAAGUUGUUGCAGUUAAAAAGCUCGUAGUUGAACCUUGAGCCUGGCUGGCCGGUCCGCCUCACCGCGUGCACUGGUCCGGCCGGGUUUUUCCUUCUGGGGAGCCGCAUGCCCUUCACUGGGUGUGUCGGGGAACCAGGACUUUUACUUUGAAAAAAUUAGAGUGUUCAAAGCAGGCCUAUGCUCGAAUACAUUAGCAUGGAAUAAUAGAAUAGGACGUGUGGUUCUAUUUUGUUGGUUUCUAGGACCGCCGUAAUGAUUAAUAGGGAUAGUCGGGGGCAUCAGUAUUCAAUUGUCAGAGGUGAAAUUCUUGGAUUUAUUGAAGACUAACUACUGCGAAAGCAUUUGCCAAGGAUGUUUUCAUUAAUCAGUGAACGAAAGUUAGGGGAUCGAAGACGAUCAGAUACCGUCGUAGUCUUAACCAUAAACUAUGCCGACUAGGGAUCGGGCGAUGUUAUUUUUUUGACUCGCUCGGCA
rnacentral:rRNA from 1 species